rnacentral:siRNA from 1 species
UGGCGAAGUGAUACUCGACCA